rnacentral:lncRNA from 1 species
AGUUAUUGCCCUUUAUAGUCAAUUUUUAACCAUUUUUCGUUAAUUAAAGAAAUCUUUUACAAAAAUCUUCUCCUCUGAAACUACUGGGCCAAAUUAAUCCAAACUUGGCCACAAUCAUCUUUGGGGUAUCUAGUUUAAAAAAUGUGUGGUGUGACCUGGUCAACCAACCAAGAUGGCGGCCACGGCUAAAAAUAGAACAAAGGGGUAAAAUGCAGUUUUUGACUUAUAACUCAAAAACCAAAGCAUUUUGAGGAAAUCUGACAGGGGAUAAAAAUGUUUAUCAGGUCAAGAUCUAUCUGCCCUGAAAUUUUCAGAUGAAUUGGUCAAUCGGUUGUUGGGUUGCUGCCCCUGAAUUGGUAAUUUUGAGGAAAUUUUGCUGUUUUUGUUAUUAUCUUGAAUAUUAUUAUAGAUAGAGAUAAACUGUAAACAGCAAUAAUGUUCAACAAAGUAAGAUCUACAAAUAAGUCAACAUGACCAAAAUGGUCAGUUGACCCGUUUAGGAGUUAUUGCCCUUUAUUGUCAAUUUUUAACCAUUUUUCGUAAAUUAAAGUAAUCUUUUACAAAAAUCUUCUCCUCUGAAACUACUGGGCCAAAUUAAUCCAAACUUGGCCACAAUCAUCUUUGGGGUAUCUAGUUUAAAAAAUGUGUGGCUGACUUGGUCAACCAACCAAGAUGGCCGCCACGGCUAAAAAUAGAACAUAGGGGUAAAAUGCAGUUUUUGGCUUAUAACUCAAAAACCAAAGCAUUUUGAGGAAAUCUGACAUGGGAUAAAA